rnacentral:rRNA from 1 species
GAUGAACGCUAGCUACAGGCUUAACACAUGCAAGUCGAGGGACCGGCGCACGGGUGAGUAACACGUAUCCAACCUGCCCUUUACUCGGGGAUAGCCUUUCGAAAGAAAGAUUAAUACCCGAUAUAAAGGAUGGGGAUGCGGUCCAUUAGGUAGUUGGUGAGGUAACGGCCCACCAAGCCUUCGAUGGAUAGGGGUUCUGAGAGGAAGGUCACCCACAGUGGAACUGAGACACGGGCCAAACUCAUAGGGGAGGCAGCAGUGAGGAAUAUUGGGCAAUGGGCGUUAGCCUGAACCAGCCAAGUAGCGUGAAGGAUGAAGGCUUAUGGGUCGUAAACUUCUUUUAUAUAAGAAUAUGUAUUAUAUGAAUAAGGAUCGGCUAACUCCGUGCCAGCAGCCGCGGUAAUUC